CUGUGAACUUACCCGUUACCGUUGCUUCGGCGGGCGGCCCCAGGGGGGGCCGUAGCCUCCCUCAGGGGAGGUGCCCGCCGGAGGACACACAAACUAUACUUGAAUUAUUGGCCCUUCUGAGAACAAGCUUCAAUAAUCAAAACUUUCAACAACGGAUCUCUUGGUUCUGGCAUCGAUGAAGAACGCAGCGAAAUGCGAUAAGUAAUGUGAAUUGCAGACUUCAGUGAAUCAUCGAAUCUUUGAACGCACAUUGCGCCCGCCAGCAUUCUGGCGGGCAUGCCUGUCCGAGCGUCAUUUCAACCCUCAAGCUCAGCUUGGUGUUGGGGCACUACGGCUCAGCCGUAGGCCCUGAAAUUUAGUGGCGGGCUCUCUGGGAGUCCGGGCGUAGUAGCAAUAUGUCGCCCGCGGCCCCCGGAGCGCUCCGGCCGUUAAACUCCCAAAUUUCAGAAGGUGACCUCGGAUCAGGUAGGACUACCCGCUGAACUUAGCAUAUCAUAAGCGGAGGAA
rnacentral:misc_RNA from 1 species